GAUGAACGCUGGCGGCGUGCUUAACACACGCAAGUCGAACGAAGCACUUUAUUUGAUUUCCUUCGGGACUGAUUAUUUUGUGACUGAGUGGCGGACGGGUGAGUAACGCGUGGGUAACCUGCCUUGUACAGGGGGAUAACAGUUGGAAACGGCUGCUAAUACCGCAUAAGCGCACAGCAUCGCAUGAUGCAGUGUGAAAAACUCCGGUGGUAUAAGAUGGACCCGCGUUGGAUUAGCUAGUUGGUGAGGUAACGGCCCACCAAGGCGACGAUCCAUAGCCGACCUGAGAGGGUGACCGGCAACAUUGGGACUGAGACACGGCCCAAACUCCUACGGGAGGCAGCAGUGGGGAAUAUUGCACAAUGGGCGAAAGCCUGAUGCAGCGACGCCGCGUGAGCGAAGAAGUAUUUCGGUAUGUAAAGCUCUAUCAGCAGGGAAGAUAAUGACGGUACCUGACUAAGAAGCACCGGCUAAAUACGUG
rnacentral:rRNA from 1 species